rnacentral:rRNA from 1 species
GAUGAACGCUAGCGGGAGGCUUAACACAUGCAAGUCGUGGGGCAGCAUUUGGUAGCAAUACUGAGAUGGCGACCGGCGCACGGGUGAGUAACGCGUAUGCAACCUACCCUGUACAGGGGGAUAGCCCGGAGAAAUUCGGAUUAAUACCCCAUAAAGAUAUCUGAAGGCAUCUUUUGAUAUUUAAAGUUUCGGCGGUACGGGAUGGGCAUGCGUAACAUUAGCUAGUUGGUAGGUAACGGCCUACCAAGGCGACGAUCCGUAGCUGGUCUGAGAGGAUGAUCAGCCACACUGGAACUGAGACACGGUCCAGACUCCUACGGGAGGCUG